rnacentral:rRNA from 1 species
AUUGAACGCUGGCGGCAUGCCUUACACAUGCAAGUCGAACGGCAGCACGGGAGCAAUCCUGGUGGCGAGUGGCGAACGGGUGAGUAAUAUAUCGGAACGUGCCCAGUCGUGGGGAUAACGUAGCGAAAGCUACGCUAAUACCGCAUACGAUCUAUGGAUGAAAGCGGGGGAUCGCAAGACCUCGCGCGAUUGGAGCGGCCGAUAUCAGAUUAGGUAGUUGGUGAGGUAAAGGCUCACCAAGCCGACGAUCUGUAGCUGGUCUGAGAGGACGACCAGCCACACUGGGACUGAGACACGGCCCAGACUCCUACGGGAGGCAGCAGUGGGGAAUUUUUGGACAAUGGGCGCAAGCCUGAUCCAGCAAUGCCGCGUGCAGGAUGAAGGCCUUCGGUUGUAACUAGCUUUGUACGGUAACGAAACGGUAGAGCUCUAAUACAGUUUGCUAAU